GACGAACGCUGGCGGCGUGCUUAACACAUGCAAGUCGACUGUGGCUGUCGGGUGAGUAACGCGUAAAGAUCUUGCCUCACAGCUAGGGACAACAUUUGGAAUCGAAUGCUAAUACCUGAUACUGUGAGAGAGCUUUGCGUCCCAUUAGCUAGUUGGAGAGGUAACGGCUCACCAAGGCGAUGAUGGCUAGCCGGCCUGAGAGGGUGAUCGGCCACAAGGGGACAGAGACAGGGCCCGUAGGGCUACGGGAGGAAGGAGUGAGGAAGAUUGGAAGAAGGGCCAAAGUGUGAUGAAGCUAUUCGGUGUGUAAGAUGAAGUUUUAGGAAAGAAAAGUGCUGGAAGUUGGGAAGCGGUACCAACAGAAGAAGUGACGGCUAAAUACGUGCCAGCAGCCGCGGUAAUUC
rnacentral:rRNA from 1 species